AAGACUAUACUUUCAGGGAUCAUUUCUAUAGUUCGUUACUAGAGAAGUUUCUCUGACUGUGUAGAGCACCCGAAACCACGAGGAGGAGACGUAGCGUUCUCUCCUGAGCGUGAAGCCGGCUCUUAGUGUUGCUUCCUGCAACUGCUAUUGGCCAUUGAUGAUCGUUCUCGAUCCUCUCUGAGGUUCGAGAGGGAGAGAACGCAGUCUGAGUGGUU
rnacentral:snoRNA from 14 species